ensembl:lncRNA
UGUGAAAACAUGGACGAUGAUUUCAAGACUUGCUGCUAUCGAAUACAGAUCGCCCCGUGAUCAAUUUAAUAGAUUAUUAACGUUUAUUAAUACCUAAAGUUGGUUUAGAAAAGUAAUUUGAAGUGAUUUGUAAAAGUAUAUAGGCAACUUGUGUAAUUUUAAAAAGUGACGUUGCGUCUUGUAAAGGGGCAUUUUUCUGGAUCAGACCGGUCUUCAGCAAAUCACAUUUUGGGUAUACAAUGAUGGAUUUAAAUCGGGAAAAAGACCCAAUUGUGAUGUUUAUGUGACAUAUAGGAGUGCCAAGAAAGAAGCUCGUCAAAGGAACCAAGUCCAUAAGAAGUUUUUAAUGAGAGACGUCAAAGGAGAAUGUCCAGAUUCAUUCAAGCUCACAGAAAGGCCACAAAUCCUCAAAUAACAGAUGUUUAAAACAGUGGUGUGCAGAAGGACAUCUCUUAACAUACAACACCGGGAAUAAUUCAGGCUGUUGUGGAGGCAAAAGGGGGUCCUACCCAGUACUAGAUAAGUGUACCUAAUAAAAUGUGUUAUAAAAAGAGUAUAUAACGCUAAAAAUCAGGUUUUCAAGUUAAAUAUAUGUUUUGUUAGUCAUUAUCUCAGAGGUAAUCAAGAAAGCUCACAAGAAUUUGUGGAGUUCAUUUUAACUUCGUUUCCAAAGUUGAGACGAGGGCGGGUACGAGCUACUGAACAUUUCUGGAACUACACGGAUCCAUCAUUAUACCUGUCCCAUGCCCCAAUCAGGGCUACAGUGCGAGAUAUCUGAAAGACCCUUGUGUCAUGAUAAAUCAUGCUACUCUGUACAUUUGGAUUUAAAACUUCAUUAGUUUUGAUUCAUAAGAUUUGUUUUAUGAUAUACCGUAGCUUGCUCAAAUGUAUAGCUUGCUCAAAACUUACAAUUUCUAGAUAGUUGUGUAAAUCUGUAGAAGUGUAUUUUUUAAAUUCCUUUGUAAAUGACCAAACUAAUGUAAUGUAGGUCUGAAGAAGCUUAAUCCUUACAAAGAAUGCAACUUAACCUAUUAUUCUAUUGUUUUUUUGAUGAUUCUGGACAAGAUUGUCUGGCCUUGUAAUAAGGACGUUGAUGAGGAUACCCUCACCUUGGAGGACCAAUGCAGAGUCUUACAUUUCCUAAGGAAAUGUAUUGAAAGUGUCAGAAGUCUAUUUCCAUUGCGUGAUGCACUGAUAACCUUAUCUUGAUGUGAGUCUUUAAUCAAAUGUAACAUUUUUCUUCCGAAAAUGAUUUAAUCUCUGAUCACACAAUCAGGGUGUUAAGGGGAACACUAAGCCCCAAACACUGUCAGUUCAAGUAAAGGUUUUAUGUGCAUAUAUCUUGGUAGGAUAGUGUUUCUUUUUUGGAGAGAGAGGUUAAAGUAAGUUUCCUUCAUUGCAUGUUUAGAAAAAAGGCCCAAAAGUAGCUAUUGUAGACAUUUGAAUUUUACAAUUUUAAUAUCUAGCAUUUAGAUAAUUGCUACAAUAUUUUGCCUUUUGUGUUGGAGUAUGUAUGUGCAAUGCCUAGAGUGUGCAAAGCUGUCAAAGGCCAAUGUGGCUAUUUGAAGAAUCUCAAAUAAUAAAAUAUAUUUUGAUAUGUUUUUUGUUUACUACAUGA